GGGCGAUUAGCUCAGUUGGCUAGAGUACUUGCUCGACACGCAAGGGGUCACUGGUUCGAAUCCAGUAUCGCCCACCA
rnacentral:tRNA from 3 species